rnacentral:misc_RNA from 1 species
GAGGGCAAUUUUUUCAGAGGAUACACUUGGCCAGAUAAAGGAUGCUAGGCUGCAGGCGGAGAAUGCCUCUGCACUUGCUACUUCUGCUGUUAAUCAUAGCCGGGAAAUAUGGGAUCAGUUAGAUAAGCAGAGAAAUUCUGGGUUGUUGCCAGAUGUUGAAACCAAACUAGCAUCUGCAGCUGUUGCAAUAGCAGCUGCUGCUGCUGUUGCAAAGGCGGCAGCU